AGAACGAACGCUGGCGGCAGGCUUAACACAUGCAAGUCGAACGAAUGCAGCAAUGCAUUAGUGGCGCACGGGUGAGUAACGCGUGGAUAUCUGCCUUUUGGUUCGGGAUAACCUUGGGAAACUAGGGCUAAUACCGAAUGGUUCCUACGGGAUAAAGAUUCAUUGCCGAAAGAUCGGCCCGCGUCGGAUUAGCUAGUUGGUGGGGUAAUGGCUCACCAAGGCGACGAUCCGUAGCUGGUCUGAGAGGAUGACCAGCCACACUGGGACUGAGACACGGCCCAGACUCCUACGGGAGGCAGCAGUGGGGAAUAUUGGACAAUGGGCGCAAGCCUGAUCCAGCCAUGCCGCGUGGGUGAAGAAGGCCUUAGGGGUUGUAAACCCCUUUCAGCGGGGAAGAUAAUGACGGUACCGCAGAAGAAGUCCCGGCUAACUCCGUGCCAGCAGCCGC
rnacentral:rRNA from 1 species